rnacentral:tRNA from 1 species
UAGCUCAGAUGGUAGAGAAUCUGCCUGCAAAGUAGGAGAUCCAGGUUUGAUCCCUGG